rnacentral:rRNA from 1 species
CGCGUAGGCGGGGAGGUAAGUCGGGUGUGAAAUCCCUCGGCCCAACCGAGGAACUGCGCCCGAGACUGCUUCUCUUGAGUCCCGGAGAGGAAGAUGGAAUUCCCGGUGUAGCGGUGAAAUGUGUAGAGAUCGGGAGGAACACCGGUGGCGAAGGCGGUCUUCUGGACGGUGACUGACGCUGAGGCGCGAAAGCGUGGGGAGCAAACG